CCUUUAAACGGUGAAACCGCGAAUGGCUCAUUAAAUCAGCUAUGGUUCCUUAGAUCGUACAUACUACAUGGAUAACUGUAGUAAUUCUAGAGCUAAUACAUGCCACUAUGCCCUGACCCGCGAGGGAACGGGUGGAUUUAUUAGAACAGAACCAACCGGGGGUGGCUUCGGUCAUUCCUGUUGCAUUCUGUGAUGACUCUGGAUAACUUCACUGAUCGCAGUCGGCCUUGUGUCGGCGACGGAUCCUUCAAAUGUCUGCCCUAUCAAUUCACGAUGGUAGGUGACCUGCCUACCAUGGUUCUAACGGGUAACGGGGAAUCAGGGUUCGAUUCCGGAGAGGGAGCCUGA
rnacentral:rRNA from 1 species